CCUACGGGAGGCAGCAGUGGGGGAUAUUGCACAAUGGGGGGAACCCUGAUGCAGCGACGCCGCGUGGGUGAAGAAGCGCCUCGGCGCGUAAAGCCCUGUCAGCAGGGAAGAAAAUGACGGUACCUGAAGAAGAAGCACCGGCUAACUACGUGCCAGCAGCCGCGGGAAUACGUAGGGGGCAAGCGUUAUCCGGAUUGACUGGGUGUAAAGGGGGCGCAGACGGCGAUGCAAGCCAGGAGUGAAAGCCCGGGGCCCAACCCCGGGACUGCUCUUGGAACUGCGUGGCUGGAGUGCAGGAGGGGCAGGCGGAAUUCCUGGUGUAGCGGUGAAAUGCGUAGAUAUCAGGAGGAACACCGGUGGCGAAGGCGGCCUGCUGGACUGCAACUGACGUUGAGGCCCGAAAGCGUGGGGAGCAAACAGGAUUAGAUACCCGGGUAGUC
rnacentral:rRNA from 1 species